rnacentral:rRNA from 1 species
UAGUCAUAUGCUUGUCUUAAAGACUAAGCCAUGCAUGUCUAAGUAUAAGUAUUAUACAGCGAAACUGCGAAUGGCUCAUUAAAACAGUUAUAGUUUAUUCGAUUAUUUUCUCCUACAUGGAUAACCGUAGUAAUUCUAGAGCUAAUACAUGCUGUCAAACCUGACUUUUGUGGAAGGGUUGUAUUUAUUAGAUAUAAAACCAAUACUCGCAAGAGGAUUGUGAUGAUUCAUAAUAACUGAGCGGAUCGCGGCUUUGCCGCGACGAAUCGUUCAAGUUUCUGCCCUAUCAGCUUUUGAUGGUAGUGUAUUGGACUACCAUGGCGAUCACGGGUAACGGGGAAUUAGGGUUCGAUUCCGGAGAGGGAGCCUGAGAAAUGGCUACCACAUCUAAGGAAGGCAGCAGGCGCGUAAAUUACCCAAUCCUAAUUCAGGGAGGUAGUGACAAGAAAUAACAACUCGGGCCUCUUAUGAGGUUACGAGAUUGCAAUGAGAACAAUUUAAACCACUUAUCGAGUAACAAAG